GACGAACGCUGGCGGCGUGCUUAACACAUGCAAGUCGAACGGAAAGGCCCUGCUUUUGUGGGGUGCUCGAGUGGCGAACGGGUGAGUAACACGUGAGUAACCUGCCCUUGACUUUGGGAUAACUUCAGGAAACUGGGGCUAAUACCGGAUAGGAGCUCCUGCUGCAUGGUGGGGGUUGGAAAGUUUCGGCGGUUGGGGAUGGACUCGCGGCUUAUCAGCUUGUUGGUGGGGUAGUGGCUUACCAAGGCUUUGACGGGUAGCCGGCCUGAGAGGGUGACCGGCGACAUUGGGACUGAGAUACGGCGCAGACGCCUACGGGAGGCAGCAGUGGGGAAUAUUGCACAAUGGGCGGAAGCCUGAUGCAGCAACGCCGCGUGCGGGAUAACGGCCUUCGGGUUGUAAACCGCUUUCGCCUGUGACGAAGCGUGAGUGACGGUAAUGGGUAAAGAAGCACCGGCUAACUACGUG
rnacentral:rRNA from 1 species